AGCUAGGUUUUUUUCAAAGCCACCAAUAAUUCUUUAAAAAAUUCC
rfam:Fukomys damarensis contig160367, whole genome shotgun sequence.